UACUCACUCCGUCCGGAAAUACUUGUCCUAAAAAUGGAUAUAUUUGAUGUAUCUAUAAUUAAAAUAAGUCUAGAUUCAUCCAUUCCUAGGACAAGUAUUUCCGGAGGAGGGAGUACAUG
rnacentral:pre_miRNA from 1 species